CACGUAGGGCGCAAGCGUUGUCCGGAAUUAUUGGGCGUAAAGAGCUCGUAGGCGGUCUGUUGCGUCCGCUGUGAAAACUCGGGGCUUAACCCCGAGCCUGCAGUGGAUACGGGCAGACUAGAGGUAGGUAGGGGAGAAUGGAAUUCCCGGUGUAGCGGUGAAAUGCGCAGAUAUCAGGAGGAACACCGGUGGCGAAGGCGGAUCUCUGGGCCGUAACUGACGCUGAGGAGCGAAAGCAUGGGGAGCGAACAGG
rnacentral:rRNA from 1 species